rnacentral:rRNA from 1 species
GUCUAUGGCCAUGCCACCCUGAACAAGCCCGAUCCUGUCUGAUCUCGGAAGCUAAGCAGGGUCGGGCCUGGUUAGUACUUGGAUAGGAGACCACCUAGGAAGACCAGGUAGGUGCUGUAGGCA